AAUAAAGGUAUUUGACUACAACUACCGGCAAAUAACGACGGUGGUGCCAAAUAGAAAAUGGAAGAUCCGGUCACCGACGCCGAUGAUUACGCCCGCCACCGUCAAAUUGUUCCCUUCAUCGCUGACGUCACCCCAAUUUCUCAUUCCAUUCCUCCUUCAUCUUCAUUUGGCUCUCAUGGCGUCAACACAGCGUCUCCCACAAAUACACUAAGCGUAUCAAAGUUUACUCUGCCCGAAGGUUGGUAUGUGAAAACGGUACCUCGUAAGAAUACUACGUCUGGAAUUAUGGCUGACAAGUAUUACCGUGAUCCAGUAACAGGACGAUAUUUCCGAUCCCUUAGAGCUGUUGAGAGAUACAUUACCUUAGGAACUAUACCUCUAGACAUCAGGGAUUAUCGUAAAAAUAUUGAGGGAGGCAUUAUUGAAGAAAUUACACCUAGAAAAGCAAGGGCCAAAAGGCUAAACCGUCAGUGUGAUGAAAAGGUUGAUAGCAACAAUACUGAAGAAGUAACACCCAGAAAAGCAAGGGCCAAGAGGCUAAAUUAUCGUCAUCUUGUGAAGAAUUCAGGCAGUCAGGAUAUGAUUGUAGCCAGUGAUAAGAGAUUAGAUUUGGAAGAGGAUAAAGAUAGUCAAAAUCAGUUGGCUAUUGUGUCUCCUACUAGUGUUUCGUCUCGAUCGUCCUUCAAACUUCCUGAAGGUUGGGUUGUGGAGGAGGCACCUCGUAGAUCUGGAAACUAUGUUGAUAAGAUUUACCAUGAGCCUGGGACUGGACAGAAGUUCCGAUCCUUGCUAGCAGUUCAGAGAUACCUAGCAUACCUGGAAGAUAAUUCACCAUUAUCAGUCGUACUAGAAGAAAUCAAAGAAAACAAUCUACCUCUUUCCAAGGCUUUCAAAUUGAGCAGUUGUAUAAAGAAUUGCGGCUCAUACAAUUCAUGGAAGACAAACUUGUCUAGAAAAGAGAAAUCGUCAACGAGUGCCAGUCCUCCAGACAGAGUCAAUUGGGUUAUAGCUGGUAGAGCAGACACUUGGAAUGCUUUUGCGGAUGAGACGUUAGUUGUAGAUUCUGUGAAGCAACAAUGGAGAAACGCAUUUAUGAUGGCCAUCAACACCAAAAAUAUUACUCCACUUUCUGGGUAACAAGGUUUGGUUCUGAAGCUGAGACUAUGUUACGUAUAAUAUCUUCCGAAUGGAUUCUCUUGUGUUGACAGGUUCGUUCGCGUGUGAUGAGUUACUAGCAAAAAUGUUUGGUUCCGUCGAACUACUCUUAACAUCUCUUUGAAAUGAGCAACUGUUUACUAAGGACCAAUGAACACGUUUGUGAAAGGCCAUGUUCGAACAUCAGACACGAACGUAUCUAGGAAAGGCUUCCUUUCUAGACCCACAACAAUUAGACGCUAAGAAAAUGAUGCCGCAAAGACAUCCAUUAAGCUUAGUCAAGCCUUAUAAGAUUGAGGAUAAUCGAAUUAACUUCUUUUUGUAAUCAAAACUUUUUAAAAGCUGAUCAUCGUUUAGUACAAGUGUACAACAUCUGACAAAUUAUCACAGACACAAUAAUUAUCUUAUUAGUAUAUGUGUUAAUAUGUAUUCAUAAUCUAGUUAUGUAUAAAAAGCGUGAUCAGCGCAACAUGAUGACUUA